AUUGCUUAACUGUUAGAUUUGCAAAUCGAACAGAGACUUAAUGUCGGUCAUAGUGAUCCGGUGAUACAGUAUGGAAUGGUCAUCGAUUAACGGAUAAAAGGUACGCCAGGGAUAACAGGCUAAUUGUCCUUGAGAGGCCAUAUCGACGGGAUAGUUUGGCACCUCGAUGUCGACUUAUCAGAUCCUGGUGUAGUAGGGGAUACCAAGGGUUCGGCUGUUCGCCGAUUAAAGUGGUACAUGAGUUGGGUUUAGAACGUCGUGAGACAGUUUGGUCCCUAUCUACCAUAAAUGAGAGAAAAUUGUUUAAGGCUGACUUUCGUACGAGAGGAGCAAGAAGGGAAGACCUAUUGUGAAUCUGUUGUUUUAACCAAAAGCAUUGCAGAGUAGCUACGUC
rnacentral:rRNA from 1 species